UACGUAGGGAGCAAGCGUUGUCCGGAUUCACUGGGUGUAAAGGGUGCGCAGGCGGAUUGGUAAGUCAGGGGUGAAAUCUCACGGCUUAACCGUGAAAUUGCCUUUGAUACUGCCAAUCUUGAGUUCGGGAGAGGUCGAUGGAAUUCCAGGUGUAGCGGUGAAAUGCGUAGAUAUCUGGAAGAACACCAGUAGCGAAGGCGGUCGA
rnacentral:rRNA from 1 species